rnacentral:rRNA from 1 species
UACCGCGGUUAGACGAGAGGCCCAAGUUGACAGACCCCGGCGUAAAGAGUGGUUAAGACAAAAAUAUACUAAGGCCGAACAACUUCAGAGCUGUUAUACGCAUCCGAAGACUAGAAGUACAAUUACGAAAGUUGCUUUAUUAUACUGAACCCACGAAAGCCAAGACA